rnacentral:rRNA from 1 species
AUUGAACGCUGGCGGCAGGCUUAACACAUGCAAGUCGAGCGGAGCGAGGGUGCUUGCACCUUAGCUUAGCGGCGGACGGGUGAGUAAUGCUUAGGAAUCUGCCUAUUAGUGGGGGACAACAUUCCGAAAGGAAUGCUAAUACCGCAUACGCCCUACGGGGGAAAGCAGGGGAUCUUCGGACCUUGCGCUAAUAGAUGAGCCUAAGUCGGAUUAGUUAGUUGGCGGGGUAAAGGCCUACCAAGGCGACGAUCGGUAGCGGGUCUGAGAGGAUGGUCGGCCACACUGGGACGGAGACGCGGCCCAGACUCCUACGGGAGGCAGCAGUGGGGAAUAUUGGACAAUGGGCGGAAGCCUGAUCCAGCCAUGCCGCGUGUGUGAAGAAGGCCUUUUGGUUGUAAAGCACUUUAAGCGAGGAGGAGGCUACUUAGAUUAAUACUCUGGGAUAGUGGACGUUACUCGCAGAAUAAGCACCGGCUAACUCUGUGCCAGCCGCCGCCGUAA